CUCCUCGUCAAAGAGAGGAAAAAAAGAAAAGUGUGUAUCGCUACACACUGUACAUAAAUCAUAGUAAUAAUACAUAUAAACACGCCAUGUGCGCACGCGAGGCGAUUCCAAAGCUCGCCCCUGUCGCGUUGCGUGCCGAAAGGCGUUCUUGAUGCCCAAAUUCCCUGUGCAGCAUCUUGUUGUCUCCAUCAGGGCACGCCUCCGGCCGGGGCCCAAUCAGAUGCACAUCUUUGUCCGCUCAUGAUCGGAUCGGAUCCGAUCGAUCGAGCGAGCAAUGGCAGCCAACCUUUCUGGGCAUCAAUGGAGAUGAUGGUGCCUGCAACGGCAAAAUGGAUCGAUCCAGUUGGAGGAGGCUUGGCUUCCCCCUUUUUUUUUGUGUCUGCCUUUCUUUGGAUCUUGUGAUCGGAAUUCUCUUUCUUGGUUGGAUUCCAUUUUGCCAGCUUCUGUUUCGGACUGUUGUUGGUAAUAAGAGCAGGGGUGGAACCAUGAGUUUUCUAAACCCAGGACUCAGGACUCAAACGAUAUAGUAUAAACUAUUUGGAUAAAUUUUAGCUAAAAUUUAAUAUAAUUAUAAUGUAAUUUUUAGCUAGGCAUGAGGUCUAAGCCCAAGCCGAUGCCUGUUCCACCCCUGAAUAAGAGUGGAGAAAAGAAAAUAGUUCUCGUGGGAAUCUCUCUCCGAGUAGUGAAUUAUGAUGGGCAGGAUGUGUGGCCGAAUAAAUCGUGAUGCUGUCGUUGGGUCUGUUUGUCAGUGUUUGUAUAUAUUUUCGACGAGAAAUAUUUCGUUUGCGAGUAA